GCCUCCCGGGUUGACGCCAUUCUCCUGCCUCAGCCUCCCGAGUAGCUGUAGCUGGGACUACAGGCGCCCGCCGCCACGCCCGGCUAAUUUUUUGUAUUUUUAGUGGACACGGGGUUUCACCGUGUUAGCCAGGAUGGUCUCUAUCUCCUGACCUCGUGACCCGCCCGCCUCGGCCUCCCAAAGUGCUGGGAUUACAGGCGUGAGCCACGGCGCCCGGCCUGACAUUUCUAAUAGUGCAUGUAUUAAGAUGAAGAAGGAGGAGGAUUGGAGAACUGAGUAAAGGAAGAGGAGGACGAAGAAAGAAAAAGAAACCGAGGGACCAUUUUAAAUAAAAGAUAAAUCAAGAGAAAACUGUCUUACCAGAUUGCAUUCCCCAAAGUGAGGGCAGUCCAGAGUGGCACACCAAAGUAUUUCUGAUGCCAGAACUUCACCAUCAGAGACAGCAGUCCUCUUCCCUGGCCUGGACAAGAUCCCCAAGGUACUCACAAUACUUCUCAUGGAUUGAGGCAUGAAAAGGUCUCCUGAUGAAGGACUCAAGUUGGUGGAGAAGCUGAUCGUCCACCUCGAUCUCACUUUUUCCAGUGUAGAAAUGCUGCUGAACAAGGUAUAGUACCAGGGACCAGGUUAACUCACCUGACUCAAACAACCAUAAAGCCAGAGGAAAUAUAUGAAAUUGUAGCAUCCAAGAUAUUUGGAUGCUGGUCAAUGAAAAAUAGUGAUCCCUGAAAGAUGGAAACAAAUGAGGGUCUCACUUUGUCACUAAGGCUGGAGUGUAGUGGCAUGAUCACUCAGCUCACCACACAGCCUCAUCCUCCCAGACUCAAGCAAUCCUCUCAUCGCAGCCUCCCAAGUAGCUAGGGCUACAGUUUGUUGUGGAAUGUCUUGCUUUGGAAUGAGUCUUUUGGACAGCAUAUCUCCACAAACUUCUCUCUAACUACCUGUUUUGCUGCACCCCACAAGUUUGGGUGACCUAGCAUGUGAUCCAUCUUGGAGAAUAUUCCAAGAGCAUUUGAGAAGAAUGUGCAUCUUGGCGCUGUUGGAUGGAGUGCUCUGGAUGUGUUAGGUUCAUUUGUUCUAUAGUGUUUUCAUGCAUGUUAUUUUUAUUAUUACCAGUACUCUAAGAUUUAUAAAACUUUAAAUUAGCUAAAAAGCAGUGAAAGACAGAGAUAACUUGAAAGGGUACAUUAGAUAGAAUGCUCGCUAAUCUUUUAACCCACUUCAAAUGUUUUUUUUUUCUUGAGACAGUCUCCCUUUGUUGAGUAGCUGGGAUUACAGAUGUGCACCACCAUGCCUGGCUAAUUUUUGUAUUUUUAGUAGAGAUGGGGUUUCACUAUGUUGGCCAGGCUCGUCUCGAACUCCCAACCUUGGGUGAUCUGCCCGCCUCAGCCUCCCAAAGGUCUUGGAUUACAGGCGUGAGCCACCAUGCCUGGCCUCAAAAUCUUUCAUACUUUUUCUUUGAGAACAGUCGCUAUUGUCCCCUUUUCCUCCCAAUAUUCAUUACCUUUCCCCAUUGAAACUAUUAAGCCAUAGAUAUGUGCUGUGUAUUCAUGUUUUUAUUGUCUGUCUCCCACCAUUAGAACACAAGCUCCAUGAGAGCAUAAAAUUUUAAAUAUCCUGGCACAUAGUAGUUAAUCAUGUUUUUAAAGGGUGAAGGAAUGCAAAUAUUUCAUAAUAUAUCUUAAUGUUUAUAUGUCUCUCUCUCUCUCUCUCUAUAUAUAUAUAUAUGUAUAUAUGUAUGUAUUUUUUUUGUGGGGGGGUGGGACAGGGUCUUACUUCCAUUGCCCAGGCUGGAGUACAGUGGCACAAUAAGGCUCACUGCUCCCCCAACUUCCCAGGCUCAGGUGAUCCUCCCACUUCAAUGUCCUGGGUAGGUGGAACUACAGGCAUGCACCACCAUGCCUAAGUAGUUUUUUAUAUUUUUAGUAGAUAUGGGAUUUCGCCAUGUUUCCCAGACUAGUCUCACACUCCUGGGCUCAAGUGAUCUGCCCACAUUGCCCUCCUACAUUGCUGGGAUUACAGGCAUGAGCCACCACACCCAACCCAUGGAUUUUUUAUUUUAGGGAAUAUUUUAUUGUCUGAUAUAUCAAUUCCUCUAGAAAGCCUUGACUGGCAUUCUCUCUGAAGUCCCAUAAUACUUUUCACAUACAAUUGUCUGCCUGUGGGCCUGUGACUGUCAGAAGAGUGAGUUCUUUGGAGUGCAAGAAGCAACUAGGCUUUUACAUCUAUUUCCCUAGUUUCUAGCAUACUGUCUACAUUAGACAAGGUGCUCAGUUUAUAUUCUCUGAAUGAACAGAAUACAAGGUCAUAUAAAGAAAUAGCUGAAAAUAAUUUGCCCAAAAUAUCAGCCUUAAAAUCCAGACAAGAAGAGAAUAACCAUUAGAAUUAAUAAAUAUGUAGCCACAAUAAAAUAUUCUGCCUCACAAUAAUUUCACCAAAGUUAGAAAAAGUACCAAUUUUAAAAAUUAAUUUAAAUGGGCUAUGUACUACUAUGAAGCAAGGUUGAAGGUAUUUCCCUAACUUAAAGUGAAAUAUGACAUAUUACAGAUUAACUUUGCAGCAUAUUUUCCAUGUAAGUUAUACAUUCUAUGAAACAGAUAAAGAGACCUGAUAACUAUUAAAAUCAGAGGAAAGAGGAUAAAGGCAUCACACAGGAGCAGAGUGUACAAUCAGAUGUAAAAUAAUCAGUGGACUAUAGAAAGGUGGCAUUUGAAAAGAAAUUACAAAUCAGUAGGAAUUAAUGGCUCUUUCUUUGCGAUAAUAUCUACUGAUUUGAUUACCAAGGAGAUUGUUAGACACAUGGGUUUUUAUGUCAGAGAAAUUUCUAAAAGAUGGUGAUAGCAAGCUUAAUACCAGCAUUUAAAGAAGUAUAUGUUGGAAGUAGGACACCAAAUAUAUAAUUCCUUGAUUUGAUGUAAAAAUAUUUAAUUUUCUAAGAACUAGGAUGCAAACUUAGUGUUACAAGGUUUGUAAAUGAUGUCAUUCUGUUCCGAAUUGUAAUAACAUGUUACAAGGUACAGUUAAGAAGAUGAUAUGUACCUAAAAUUAUUUGCAGGGUUUUUGGUCUAUUUAUAUUUCUGAGUAUCUUCCUUUUAUAUGUGUGGAUGCACACACACACAUACAUACAUACAUACACAUAAAACAGGUCACAUUAUAUAUUUAAAUGUAUAUCUAUUUGUAUGGAUUCACCAAAUUAUUUACUAGAUGGGUAAUAUAUGCUAAAUGUGAUAUGAAAACAUGAAGGGAAAUAAGACAGUUUGGCCCCAUAGGUACUUGGCGUCAGUGUCAGGAGAAGAAUAUGUUAAAAAGUACUAGAGGCCAGGCAUGGGGGCUCACACCUGUAAUCCUAACAAUUUGGGAGGCCGAGGGGGUGGAAUACCUGAGGUCGGGAGUUCAAGACCAGCCUGGCCAACAUGGUAAAACCCCUUCUCUACUAAAAAUACAAAAAAUUAGCCUAGUGCAGCGGCAUGCGUCUGUAAUCCCAGCUACUCUGGAGGCUGAGGCAGGAGAAUUGCUUGAACCCAGGAGAUGGAGGUUGCGGUGAGCCGAGAUCACACCACUGCCCUCCAGCCUGGGCUACAGAGUGAGACUUCGUCUCAAACAAAACAAAACAAAACAAAACAAAACAAAAAAGUAUUAGUGCAUGCAGUAAAUGAUCUUUGUUAGAUAUUUACAUAACAAUCUGCAAAGUCCAGGGAAAUGAGUGUUGGAUGAUAUUUACUGAAGGGUUUUUACUGCCUUUGUAGCAAAGAAGGCACAUGAAUGUACUCUCUAAGAAAGAGAAAGAACAUAGUUGUAUAGGGCAUACAAAAAAAAGUAAUGUUAAAUUAGAAAACAGCGCAUGCAAAGGCAUGAAGGAAUUCAAGAGUGAGGGACACUUGGAAAAAUCACAUGCAGAUCAGUAUGACUGCUUAUUUACAGAUAUGCACAGAUAUCCGAGAUUUAAAUAUAUGCAUGCGUAUUGCUUUCCAUUAUUCACAUAUUUAGAUACAUACUCUUCUCUAUUUUUUUCCUGAUUGUAAAAAGAAAAAAGCACUUAUUUUUCAGGGGCACACGAUGAAACCUGGCUACUUUCUUAAGCACCAAAGCAACAGAGCAAUAUAAUCCAACCUAAAAGGCACAGGACGCUCUACUCCUCAUCAUUACUCCAUGAAAUAGUUUGUCUAUUUGUGAGGAAGACAUUUCCCUUCUAAAUUGAGAUUCCAAACAGCUGUCAUAAAAUGGAGAUGCUUCAUGCUUGAAUUUUAUUUAUAUAUUUAGUUAAUUAUUAAUCAUAGUCACAGUUGUUAUUUCUUACUGUGUCCUGGGAGUAGGUGAUUCCCUACCCCUAUCCCAAGUUCAAAAAAAAAAAAUCAAAAUAGGGGAAUCAAAUUAAAUCAUGAUUUACUGGUUCCAGCUGUAUUCAGAAAAGCAUUUUUGUCAUUUUUUAAAAUUCUAAACACCUUAAAAAGCAUUUGCAUCUUCAAUGCUAUGGAAAGUCAUGUCUAUCUCUGCGGGCCAUAUUUGAUGGAAAUUUUUUCAGUAGGUCUGACAGCAGAGAACACAGUACUGUAGCUCACACCUCACCAAUGUAAUUUGGAGUGUUAAUUGGAAAGAACUUAGCUGCCCCUGUGAUUUCUGCUCUCUAAGAAUUGGUGACAAUAUGUCCCAUCUUUCCUUUCGAAGUCUAGUAGGCAGAAAAGAUGAGGAUUGUAGGGAAUUUGUCUGAAGAGGAAAGCCAUAGAGAAUGUGGCAGAGAGAAGAGAAAUGUAACCAAACCAAAAAAAUGAUUGCUUGGUGAAAAUAAAUGAAAACAAAUUGUAUCACUUCUGAAAUGAAAGUUUAAGCAAAUGAACUAGAGUGAUUAUGGCUAGUCAGCUUCUAGUCAUGAUUUUUUAAAGAUAAAGUCAAGAAGGAAACCUCAGAAGUUUUAUGACAGAAGAGUCAAGCAAAACAAAAAGAAAGGGACUUUUAGCUUCUCAACAGUAAGUCUAUGAGAAUAAAAGAAGCGGUUAAAUUCUCUUUGCAAAACACUGCUCUGCAUUCUGAAAAUAAUAGCUAACACAACUUAAAUAAAUGCAAAAUGUCAGUCACUGUUCUAAGCACUUUGCAAGUGCUUAACAAUGUAACCGCCUCAAAACUUUAUGGGACAGGUUACUAUUAUCACCGGUGUUUUCCAAGAAAAGGAAAAAAAAAUACAUAUAGGGCAAGUAAAUGUAAUAUCCUAUGGUAGCACAGCUAGCAGGUGAAGCUGGCUUCAUGAAGAGGCAGUAAUUUAUUACAGACACCUUGGCUUGAGGGGCUUCCUGUGAUUAAUUACUGUGAAGAAUCACUACUACGUCUCAAUUUUCUAAAAGAAGGACAGAAAGGCUCUUUAUGAAAAAAAAUAAAUGACCUAUUAGUUUAGCAAAACUGACAUGGAAUUGGAAUUGAGUCAUUUAAAAAUGUCAUCUAUUUGAAUACUGGCUAAGCUCUUGAUAACGUUAGACAUAGUGGAGGGCAUAGAUAUUGAAUGAGUAAGAGAUGGUACACUGAAAUUGACAUUGAUGCCUCAGUGGUAGCGAACCUUACCAUCUAUAAUAAGCCUCUUCACAAACCACCAAGUUGGACGGUUAAUCAACUUGUUAAUACAAUUGUAAACUUCUGGGGUCUAUGUAUUUCAUGUUUGAAUUCUCAGGACAAAAAUUCCUGCCACGUGAUUACCUAGCUUAGCUGGAUCAUCUUCUGUGACAGAGAUUACCUACCUUUCAGAGCAAAAUUUCAGUUCAAAUUUUGUAUUAAAUUGAACUGAAAUCAGUGGCCCUGUAGCAUUUAAAAUUGGACUCAAUUCUACCUCCGGUGAAUGAUUCUCCUAGGUAGAUCGACAUACCUACCUUAUCAUUGUCAUAAAAUAUUGGAUGUUUUCAGUUUAUAAAAUUAUCUUUAAUUAGUAGUUGAUGUAGCUGCAAAAAUCACCACUUAUCUAGUGGAAAAUGUGAAGUUAUUUGAAGUGCUGAAAGGUAUUUUUUCAAUUAAGGUAACCACAUUCUCACUUCUCAGUUGCAGCUUUUGAAGUGCAUCCAUUUUAUAUUUCAUCCUAUAAAUGAAGGCAAAGAGUGUUUUCAAAGAGAUAGAACAGAAAACUCGCUAAACAGGAUUGCUUUAUUUCCUAGAGUCAUGUCUUUCAAAUGGCUUCCUGUUAGGGAACUGUCUUUCUCAUCCAGCAAAUUUAGAUAUCAUCCAGACUAGAGAAGCAUGAGGAGAUUAAUUUCAAAAUUCUGUAAAAUAUAAUCUAGGAAUAGAAGUAAACAGCAAUUUCUGAGGCCUAGGGAAGGACAUUCUAAGCAAACUAAGAGUACAUGAGGAAACUGAGGUACUGGUGAUGAGGGAUGGGGCAGAAGAAGUCAUAAAUAGAGAAACAAAAGAAAUAGAAGAGACGCACCACAGCAUUUUUAAGCCCCAAGUGAACACUUUUAUCACUCAUAAAAGUAGCCUGUUUAAGGAGUAAAAAUUUACUCUGUGUAAAUGGCAUAGCAUAUGCAAACAGAAAUAUACUUGUUUAGAGAGUAUGCUGUGCAAAAUGAAAUAAGAAAUCGACAAUAUUUUUCUUGUAAGACUACUAUCACCACCAACUACUAAAUAGAUUGAGAAAUUAUUCCUACUCAUGGUCUUAAAUUUUUAUAGAUGUUCCUAAAAUGCUCAUUUAGCUCACCUCUGGUAACAGAUUGUACAGAAUGAUUUAUAAAUGGGGCUGAUUUCCAUAUCACUGAUGGAUGCUUUAUUCACUUAAUGAUCACUGGCAAGUGGCAGCUACUAUAAAAUUUCAAGUGUCACUAAUAGGACUUUUAGCUCUGACACUAUAAAAUAAAAUGUGUGAGCUUUUUUUUUUUUUUAAAGGCAUAAAGCCUAAAAAGCUUCAAAACCUAAACAAACAAACAAAAGACCUUCAUUUUUCAAGAUACUAAAUGUUUUAGACCUAAGAUGGUUUUUCCAAAUACAUGAUUACUGUAUUUUCAGGCAAUAAACCUGCAAGCCAAGAUGAAUAUAUUAAGGAUUGAUAGUACGCUAAGUUGCAUAUAAUUAGGAAAGAAACUUUGAAAUAAAAACAAAAAAAGAAACCUUCUCUUUUCCAAAACUGUCUGCAUAAAUAUUACAUCCAAGUAGCUGAUGCUUCAUUAUCAUAAUAACAACAAAAUGAAUGUUAUAUUCACUGUAUGACAGGUACUAGAUGUUAUUUUCACGUGUUUAUUUCACAUAUAUUGAAUUUAUGUAAUUUUAGAAAUUUGGAGUUAAAAAUCUUUUUCAAAUAUGCCCUUAAUAUAUCUUGCUGUUUUUGUACAGAGGAUAUGAAAAUAGGUGAUUUUAAAGGUCCGAGAGUCCAACUAAUGCAGUAAGUGAGAGGCUUUUGUCAAAUUGACUCAUCUAUCAGUGAGUUGGGGAGUUACACUGAGAGGGAUGGGUGCGUGCAUAGCCUUGUUUUUCAAUUUGAUAGAGGAUGCCAUGCACCUAAAUGUGUUGAGUGGCUCUUGAGGCCUCAGUAGUCUCAUCUGGGUACUGAGGCAGGUGGACAAGCAGCUCAAAGGACUGUGACAUCUCAUACAUUAAAUUUACAUUCUAUAAACCCAGAACUUAAAAUGGAAUAGGCACAAAUUUAAAACAGACAAAUAUACAAUGAACUGUCAUCUCCUUCAAAAAUCUGACCACCAUUGUUUUAUAACUGCAAUUAUUAGGGAGUAUACAGGGACUUGGUAUUAGAACUUGUGAGCAUCAGGUCCCAAAACACAAACCCGACCCCACUUUGUUUUCAGCACAGGGACUUGGUAUAGAACUUGUGAGCAUCAGGUCCCAAAACACAAGGCCAAGGCCAUUUCCUUGUUUUCAGCAUGCAUCUUAGCUAUGUCAGGCAAUGGUUAAAUAGCCAAGCGUGAUGGCUAUUUAAAGAUGUACUAGUAUUUAAAAAAAAAAAUUUUCUUUGCCCAUUUUCAAGAAAGAAAAAGACUUCCAAUCUGCCUUACUUUGCUCUAUUGUGUUUACUUAUCUGGAGCUCUUGUCACUUCAAUGGACUUUUUUUAUUUAUCACAUGUAUUGUUUAGUAUCUAUCUACUACAAUAAUAUAUAAGCUCUUUGAAAAAAGUGUUUCUUUCUUCUCUUUUCAUUACCAGUUUACCCUUAAUGCAGAGAAUAGUGGAUGGCUCAUAGUAAUUGAUUUAAGUAUAUAUAUUUUAACAGUCUCAUGUUCUGCUGACUGAGCCUGCUGGGCAUGAGUAUGAGGAUAUAUACUUCAAUAAAUAAAUGCAAUUUGUUCUAUAGCUAGUUUUCUUUGGGGAUCUAUAUGAGAGCAACACUUAUUCUUAAAUGUUUAACUUUAACAUAUUUUUUCUAUAUAGAUAGAUUUGCAAAUGUUGACAGGAUUGCCACAAAUACAUUAUCAAUGCAUUCUGAUAAAUACUGAUACUUUGUAGCAUAUUCUCAUUCAUAAUGAUAACCAGUGUUCAUAAUGAGUACUUUCUUUUACAAUCUGUUUGGAAGCCACCAGAAGUUUGUGUGUGUAUGUACCUUCCAUCUUUACCCUGAUCGUUACAUAUAUGAGGAAACAGGUUUGUAGAAGGUGCUAGGUAAGUGCAAAAUAAGCUGGAAUAAAACACAUAAGUGCUAGUGUAAUCAACAAUAUUUGUUCUUUUGUGCUUGGCUUAUUUCAUUUAGCAUAAUGUCUUUAAGGUUCAUUCAUGAUGUAGCUUUGUCAGAUUUUCCUGCCUUUUUAAGACUGAAUAAUAACCCAUUGCCUGUAUAUACCACAUUUUUUUUUAAAUUUAGCUUUCAUUUUAAGUUAAGAGAUACAUGUGCAGGUUUGAUAUAUAGGUAAAUGUGUGUCUUGGGGGUUUGUUGUACAGAGUAUUUCAUCAUGCAUUUACUAAGCCUAGUACCCAUUAGUUAUUUUUUCCAAUUUUCUCCCUCUUCCUAGCCUUCCAACCUCUGAUAGGCCCCAAUGUCUUUUGUUGCCCUCUAUGUGUUCAUGUAUUCUCAUCAUUUAGCUCCCACUAAUAAAUGAGAACAUGUUGUAUUUGGUUUU
rnacentral:lncRNA from 10 species